UGGAAAUCUGAAGGAGAUAUAACGCAUAGCAUAGUAAUCUGUAUCUUAAUCAGGAAAUGUCAAUCAUUCAUAAAGCAAAUAAGAUGGAUCAAUAGAAUGUGAUGGAUGUUUUAAAUCAAUACAAGAAAAGAAUACCACAAGACACAAAUAUAACAAGAAAACAUUAAUAUUCUUCACUUUUCUCAUCUGUAAACAUGCCUUCAGUUGUGUUACGGAGGUAAACUAUAGGUUUACUAGUUUUCAUAUAUUUCUGAAGUUUUUUUUUUUUAUGUUGUCUCUAAAUGUAUUUGUAGGUCUAUUACAGACAGUGCAGUUGAGAAACAUAUUUUACAUAUUGUUUCAUAAAAUGAUAAUUUUUCAUCAGUUUUGAUUGUUUUGUUUUUGAUACUGCCCUAUAAGUUUUUAAUCAGAUAAUGUAAAUUGUUUCAGAAUAUUGAACAGAACAAGAAUAGGUCUUUCAACUUCAAAUAACCCACACAUAUUCACUGGACUAAAUAAAGUAACUUACAUUGAAGGAACUGUUCCCUGGUCUCAUAUUCUGGGGCAGGAAUGAUCUGGAUGCAUCUCACUAUGGAUCCAACAGACAUCUUGAGAACAUGCUCCAGUUUCUCUCGCAAUUGAGAGACAUCAUUUAUUACAUCAUCAAAAGAGAAGUGAGAACUGACAGUGAUGUCUGAAGAUCCAGGAGGAACACAGUAAGACUGGACAUUCUACACAUACGGAAAAAAAGGAA